GUCAGGAUGGCCGAGUGGUCUAAGGGCCAGACCAGACUCAGGUUCUGGUCUCCGAUUGGAGGCGAGGGUUCAAAUCCCUCUUCUGACA